AGUCCUAUAGUGUAAUGGUAACACACCGGAUUUUGAUUCCGUUAUUCUAGGUUCGAAUCCUGGUAGGACUA
rnacentral:tRNA from 1 species